rnacentral:rRNA from 1 species
GGCUCAGGACGAACGCUGGCGGCGCGCCUAACACAUGCAAGUCGAACGAGAGAGAAGGAGCUUGCUUCUUCGAUCGAGUGGCGAACGGGUGAGUAACGCGUGAGGAACCUGCCUCAAAGAGGGGGACAACAGUUGGAAACGACUGCUAAUACCGCAUAAGCCCACGGGUCGGCAUCGACCAGAGGGAAAAGGAGCAAUCCGCUUUGAGAUGGCCUCGCGUCCGAUUAGCUAGUUGGUGAGGUAACGGCCCACCAAGGCGACGAUCGGUAGCCGGACUGAGAGGUUGAACGGCCACAUUGGGACUGAGACACGGCCCAGACUCCUACGGGAGGCAGCAGUGG